AUCGAACCCGGAGAUAGCUGGUUCUCCUCGAAAUAGCUUUAGGGCUAGCCUCGAUAGAGUCUUGCGGAGGUAGAGCACUGAAUUUCCUAGGGGGCGUCAAAGCUUACCGAAGAAUAUCAAACUCCGAAUGCCGUGUAGAUGCUUAUCGGGAGUCAGACUAUACGAGAUAAGUUGGAUAGUCAAAAGGGAAAGAGCCCAGACCUCCAGCUAAGGUCCCAAAGUACGUGUUAAGUGGAAAAGGAUGUGGGAUUUCGAAGACAACCAGGAUGUUGGCUCAGAAGCAGCCAUCCAUUCAAAGAGUGCGUAAUAGCUCACUGGUCGAGAGGUCCUGCGCCGAAAAUGUCCGGGGCUGAAACACGACACCGAAGCUGAGGAAUGUCUGAAGACAUUGGUAGAGGAGCAUUGGAUACGCAACGAAGCAGUACCGGAAGGAGCUGUGGAGUGUAUCGAAGAGAGAAUGCCGGAAUGAGUAGCGAGAGAGAGGUGGGAAUCCUCUCGGCCGAAUAUCUAAGGUUUCCAGGGUAAAGCUGAUCUGCCCUGGGUAAGUCGGGGCCUAAGGCGAGGACGAGAGUCGUAGCCGAUGGACAACAGGUUGAGAUUCCUGUACUGCAGUAAGACAGAACUGUGGGGACACGUGUGGAGAGCAUAGGCGCGGAAUGGAAAGCCGCGUGCAAGCGAGGUAGGAGUCCUGUAGGAAAAACCGCAGGGCAAUCCGAAGGCGUGAUGCGGACCGAAAUCUAGUAGGGAAGUAUGUGAGCCAUGCGUCAAGAAAAGCCGCUAUUGUUCUUAUUGUACCCGUACCGUAAACCGACACAGGUGGAUGAGGAGAGAAUCCUAAGGCCGACGGAAGAAGCAUUGUUAAGGAACUCGGCAAAAUGACCCCGUAACUUCGGGAGAAGGGGUGCCACAGAAAUGUGGCCGCAGAGAAUAGGCUCAAGCAACUGUUUAGCAAAAACACAGGUCUAUGCAAAACCGAAAGGUGAGGUAUAUGGGCUGACGCCUGCCCGGUGCUGGAAGGUUAAGAGGAGAGGUUAGCGCAAGCGAAGCUUUGAAUUUAAGCCCCAGUAAACGGCGGCCGUAACUAUAACGGUCCUAAGGUAGCGAAAUUCCUUGUCGGGUAAGUUCCGACCCGCACGAAAGGCGUAAUGAUUUGAGCGCUGUCUCGACAAUGCAUCCGGUGAAAUUGAAGUACCAGUGAAGAUGCUGGUUACCUGCGCCAGGACGGAAAGACCCCAUGGAGCUUU
rnacentral:rRNA from 1 species